rnacentral:rRNA from 1 species
GAUGAACGCUGGCGGCGUGCCUAAUACAUGCAAGUCGAACGAAACUUCUCUAUCACCGUGUGCGUGCACGCACCGAUAAAGAAUUGAGGGGUGAAAGGGUGAGAAACACGUGGGCAACCUGCCCAAACGAGGGGGAUAACAGUUGGAAACAGGUGCUAAUGCCGCAUAACCAUAGUUACCGCGUGGAAACUAUGUUAACGGUGGCUAUACUACCGCGGUUGGAUGGGCCGGCGGCGGAUUAGCUGGUUGGUAGGGUAAUGGCGUACCACGGGGCUGAUGGGUAGUCGAAGUGAGAGGUUGAUCGGCCGCAUUGGUACUGAGACACGGCCCAAACUCCUACGGGAGGCAGCAGUAGUGAAUAUUCCACAAUGAGGGAAAGCCGGCUGGAGCAACGCCGCGGGGUGGAAGAAGGUCUUCGGAUCGUAGAGCCCUGUUUUUAGAGAUGAAAGUGCGUGGGAGUAUCUGUUCACGUGUCGACGGUAUCUAACUAGAAAGCCACGGCUAACUACGUG